rnacentral:rRNA from 1 species
AACGAACGCUGGCGGCAGGCUUAACACAUGCAAGUCGAACGCCCCGCAAGGGGAGUGGCAGACGGGUGAGUAACGCGUGGGAAUCUACCCAGUUCUACGGAACAACUGAGGGAAACUUCAGCUAAUACCGUAUACGCCCUACGGGGGAAAGAUUUAUCGGAAUUGGAUGAGCCCGCGUUGGAUUAGCUAGUUGGUGAGGUAACGGCUCACCAAGGCGACGAUCCAUAGCUGGUCUGAGAGGAUGAUCAGCCACACUGGGACUGAGACACGGCCCAGACUCCUACGGGAGGCAGCAGUGGGGAAUCUUGGACAAUGGGCGCAAGCCUGAUCCAGCCAUGCCGCGUGAGUGAAGAAGGUCUUCGGAUUGUAAAGCUCUUUUACCAGGGACGAUAAUGACGGUACCUGGAGAAUAAGCCCCGGCAAACUUCGUGCCAGCAGCCGCCGUAAAAC